GAUGAAGAACGUAGCGAAAUGCGAUACGUAAUGUGAAUUGCAGAAUUCAGUGAAUCAUCGAAUCUUUGAACGCAUAUUGCGCUCUCUGGUAUUCCGGAGAGCAUGCUUGUUUGAGUAUCAGUAAACACCUCAACUUCCAUAUCUUUUUUUGAAAUGGGAGUUGGACUUGAGUGAUCCCAACGCUUUUCCUCACCGAAAAGUGGCGGGUUACUUGAAAUGCAGGUGCAGCUGGACUUUUCUCUGAGCUAUAAGCAUAUCUAUUUAGUCUGCCUAAAAAACAGAUUAUUACCUUUGCUGCAGCUAACAUAAAGGAGAUUAGUUCUUGUGCUGACUGAUGCAGGAUUCACAAAGACAGCUUCGGCCGACUUUGUAAACUCGAUCUCAAAUCAAGUAAGACUACCCGCUGAACUUAAGCAUAUCAAUAGCGGAGGA
rnacentral:misc_RNA from 1 species